GGAAACCAGCCUACGAAGAAACCCCAACAAGCGACCAGGGGUCCGACAGCUCCACCAAGGUUUCAUACCAGCCCAGUGUGUGAGAUGAGACCAGAAGGAGCCUGCCCAAGUUUGGCUGUGAAUUGCAGAGGCUCAGAGCUGUUUAGGAUGUUCCUUAAUCCUGGCUCUCACUCAUCCAUUCUGACUCCAGCUGUAACUAGAAUUGGAGGAUAAUCAUGUUUUUCUGAUGGAUUUUGGCCAAUUCUUGCUUCAGAUUCUGCUGACAGCCCAGGAGGAAGCCAACAUGGAGAAGAGGCAGAUCAGGAGCUUCAUGGCCAGAGUUUGAUCUGAAAUAAGCAGCCCCUUCUUUUGGGCUUCAGGCCUUCAGUUCAUGAGACUUGUUGCCUGGUCCCCACAGCCUUCUGGGGGGGGGUGUGACCCACUGGGACUGGGACCACAUGAACUCUUCCAAGUAAAUUUGUUGCCUUCAAUUUGCCUAAUUUUUAUCUCACACAUUCUUGCUUUUCCACCUGUGGCCCUUGAGGAACAUACUCCGUCCAUCUGCUGUUCCCACCAUACGAUUCCCUCCAUCUUCCUUCCCUUCUCAUAGGCUGGCAUUCCUUAUUUUUUUCUAGAAAUAAGACUUUUAUGCCUCAAUGGAUUUGCUGCACCUUGCUUUGAAGACACUGGAUGUAAUUGUCAUUAUUGCUUUGCAAUAUUCAUUGGACUGAAAUAAACAAGGGUGCUCCACCUCCUUCUUUA